rnacentral:rRNA from 1 species
UACGAAGGGUGCAAGCGUUAAUCGGAAUUACUGGGCGUAAAGCGUGCGUAGGUGGUCUUUUAAGUCCGUUGUGAAAGCCCUGGGCUCAACCUGGGAAUGGCAGUGGAUACUGGAAGGCUGGAGUGCGGUAGAGGAGGGUGGAAUUCCCGGUGUAGCGGUGAAAUGCGUAGAGAUCGGGAGGAACAUCAGUGGCGAAGGCGGCCCUCUGGACCAGCACUGACGCUGAGGCACGAAAGCGUGGGGAGCAAACGGG